AAGCCCAGCUUGCUGGGUGGAUCAGUGGCGAACGGGUGAGUAACACGUGAGCAACCUGCCCUCCACUUCGGGAUAAGCCUUGGAAACGAGGUCUAAUACCGAAUAUGAGCGCCUGCCGCAUGGUGGGUGUUGGAAAGUUUUUCGGUGGGGGAUGGGCUCGCGGCCUAUCAGCUUGUUGGUGGGGUGAUGGCCUACCAAGGCGUCGACGGGUAGCCGGCCUGAGAGGGCGACCGGCCACACUGGGACUGAGACACGGCCCAGACUCCUACGGGAGGCAGCAGUGGGGAAUAUUGCACAAUGGGCGAAAGCCUGAUGCAGCGACGCCGCGUGAGGGAUGACGGCCUUCGGGUUGUAAACCUCUUUCAGCAGGGAAGAAGGCCUUCGGGUGGACGGUACCUGCAGAAGAAGCGCCGGCUAACUACGUGCCAGCAGCCGCGGUAAUACGUAGGGCGCAAGCGUUGUCCGGAAUUAUUGGGCGUAAAGAGCUCGUAGGCGGUCUGUCGCGUCUGGUGUGAAAACCCGAGGCUCAACCUCGGGCUUGCAUCGGGUACGGGCAGACUAGAGUGCGGUAGGGGAGACUGGAAUUCCUGGUGUAGCGGUGGAAUGCGCAGAUAUCAGGAGGAACACCGAUGGCGAAGGCAGGUCUCUGGGCCGCAACUGACGCUGAGGAGCGAAAGCAUGGGGAGCGAACAGGAUUAGAUACCCUGGUAGUCCAUGCCGUAAACGUUGGGCACUAGGUGUGGGGCUCAUUCCACGAGUUCCGUGCCGCAGCUAACGCAUUA
rnacentral:rRNA from 1 species